rnacentral:rRNA from 1 species
AACGAACGCUGGCGGCAUGCCUAACACAUGCAAGUCGAACGAGACCUUCGGGUCUAGUGGCGCACGGGUGCGUCACGCGUGGGAACCUGCCCUUAGGUUCGGAAUAACUCCCCGUAAGGGGUGCUAAUGUCGGAUAAUGUAUUCGGAUCAAAGAUUUAUCGCCUUUGUAUGGGCCCGCGUUGGAUUAGCUAGUUGGUAGGGUAAAAGCCUACCAAGGCGACGAUACAUAGCUGGUCUGAGAGGAUGAUCAGCCACACUGGGACUGAGACACGGCCCAGACUCCUACGGGAGGCAGCAGUGGGGAAUAUUGGACAAUGGGCGAAAGCAUGAUCCAGCAAUGCCGCGUGAGUGAUGAAGGCCUUAGGGUUGUAAAGCUCUUUUACCCGGGAUGAUAAUGACAGUACCGGGAGAAUAAGCACCGGCUAACUCCGUG